GUUUAGAAACGUGCGUGCUUAUCGCAAUUUCAUUAAAAUGUUUAAUUUCAUUAAAUGCAACGUUUUGAAAUAACGAUAUUGACAAUUUUUUGGUGUUUUUUGUAAUUUGUAGUAAAAUCGCCAUCGCUUCGUGGUCCGCCAUUUUGUAUAGCUGAAAGAAUGGUUUUCGUAAGGUCUUCUGGUCAGCGGCGGCCGCCAGCGAUGCAGCGCCGCGCUGGCGCUGCAUGCGGCGCUGCAUCGCUCAACAACUAGGCAGUGCAGCAGCAACGCUGCACCUAAACCACCCAGCCACGAACACUGGACUCGAAGACGUUCAUAAAUCACAAUUCAUCCAGAGGAGCUCGUCCCUCUGCAGGCUACCGCGAUCUCGCGGAAUCUUAUUGCGGCAGCCUACAGAGCACGCUGCGUCGCCAACCGAUGACUUCAAUUAAUAUUAUUACAAUUCAUCAAGAGGAGCUCGUCCCUCUGCAGGCUACCGCGAUCUCGCGGAAUCUUAUUGCGGCAGCCUACAGAGCACGCUGCGUCGCCAACCGAUGACUUCAAUUAAUAUUAUUAAAAUUCAUCAAGAGGAGCUCGUCCCUCUGCAGGCUACCGCGAUCUCGCGGAAUCUUAUUGCGGCAGCCUACAGAGCACGCUGCGUCGCCAACCGAUGACUUCAAUUAAUAUUAUUAAGUAACAAAAACCAAAAAUUUUAUAGCCACAAAAACCGUAAGCUUUAAUCAAGUGUCUGUUAGAUUAAGUUAGAGUAGGUAUAUAACAAGCCAAUUUAUUUGAUUACAAAAUCUAUCGCCGACAAGCAACCCAUAAUUUAGUAAAGAAAAUAUCUGUUUAUUAUUGCAGAGGUGAUAUACCAAGUCUACAGUUAAGACGUCGUUUCCCCCUAUAGGUUCAUAGUUCGUCACCUAGCCACGCUGUUAAUUUUAAUUUUUAAUACAUGUCAUAAAGACAUACAUGUCCUAGAAUAGAACGUAGGUAAGCCCGGGCCUCGGCUCCUGUUGUCACAUAAUGUGCAUGCGCAAAGAUGAGAUACCGAUUCUACAUUUAAUUCGUCGUUUCCCGCUACAAAGCUUCUGUCUGUGUAUAGUGCACUGAUCAAACCGCAGCCACGCUAAGUAUAUUUUAUAAGAUGUUUACAUAGUGCUACGUUGUUUUGUAAUAGUUUUUUUUAAUACUUUAAAACAAAAUGUACGUAACCUUAACGUACGUUAGUUAAGCCACCUUUUUUAGUUUAUAAUUGAAUAAAAAUGUUAAAAAAAAUAAAAAAAAAAUUAAAAAAAUAUAAAAAAAUGUAAAAAAAACAUUGUCGUAGGUAGUGGGGUUUUUAUUCGAUUCAAUAGCGUCACAAGGCGUGAACGACAUAUACUUUUAAAAUUUUUAACAUAAAAAUAGAGAAAUUUUUGCGCGACAUUAUUUUUAUGUUAAAAAUUGAAAAAUAUUUGUCGUUUAUCGCGUUAUUUUCUUUAAUUAAGAAUGAAUUUUAGCCCCAAAUUUAAUUCUCACCCCAUUAGGUAAAUAGGUUUUUUACUAAAAGGUAAAAAUUAAGUAUAUUUUAUAAGAGUUUAUUAAGAUUAGAUUAUAAUUAAACAUUUUUCAUAAAUAAAAAAUGUAAAAAAAUAAAAAAAAAUGUCAUAGGUAAAUAGUUUUAGUAUUAGUUUGUAAUUUUAUAACUUUUGCUUUUCAUCAAACAUAAAUUUGCAGAGGUUAGACAACAGUUCCACAGUUGAUACGUCGUAUCUCAUUUCAAAUUUCAUAUUCCGUCAAUUAUAGUGAUCUGUUGCCUAGCCACGAAGUAUAUUUCAUAUGUUUUUACGUAACUUCCUUUUUUAGUUUAUGAAUGAAUUUAAAAAAAAAAAUCAUAGUUACCUGUAGGUAGGUACUUAAUAGAUUUUUUAUUGCUUUGUAAUUUCUUUCAACUUUUGAACAUUAAACUUUUCAGCAUCA